AUGCACUGAACAAUGACAACGAUACUCCACUCCGCGAUGCAUGCUAUUGGGGUAAACUAGAUGUGGUGCAGUACUUGGUGGAGGAGGCCCACUGUGACAUCAAUGCACCAGCGAACAAGUACAACAGUACUCCACUCCACAUUGCAUGCUCUCGUGGUCACCAAGAUGUGGUGCAGUACUUGGUGGAGGAGGCCCACUGUGACAUUAAUGUACGGAACGACAACAAAGAGACUGUACUUCAUGUAGCCUGUGGUAUCUACCUAUCUACAAUUUAUGCGGCAUGGCGGCAUUCCAGUGAGCUUGCAGUGGUGCAGUACUUGGUUGAGAAGGCUAACUGUGACAUCAAUGCAACUGAUGAUCAAGGCAGGACACCACUUGACUUAGCUAAAGAGAGUCAUGACAAGGUCAUUGUUGACUACCUCAAGACUCGACAAGAAUCAUCUAGACAAUCAGGCAA